GGAGGUCACCCCACUUCCCUACUCCAGAAUGUUAUUAAGGUGUAAUAUUCAUGAAACACUUUGUCUUUUAGGUCAGAAAUGUUUUCAAUAUGACAGCAGAAGAGGGAAGGAAGAAAUCAGUCCGCGUCCUGGUCGCUGUGGGGAACGGCCGAGGAGCCGCAGGUUUUGCCAUUGGGAAAGCCACUCAACGGGUGGAUGCUUUCAGAAAAGCAGAGAACAAAGCAGUUCACUAUC